rnacentral:rRNA from 1 species
UGGCUCAGGAUGAACGCUGGCGGCGUGCCUAAUACAUGCAAGUCGAACGGAGAUGCCUUUUCAGAAGCUUCGGCGGACGAGUUGGUAUUCUUCGUGGCGGACGGGUGAGUAACACGUGAGCAACCUGCCUUUCAGAGGGGGAUAACGGCUGGAAACGGUCGCUAAUACCGCAUGACACAUCGGGAUGGCAUCUUCCUGAUAUCAAAGGAGCAAUCCGCUGAAAGAUGGGCUCGCGUCUGAUUAGAUAGUUGGUGGGGUAACGGCCUACCAAGUCGACGAUCAGUAGCCGGACUGAGAGGUUGAACGGCCACAUUGGGACUGAGAUACGGCCCAGACUCCUACGGGAGGCAGCAGUGGGGAAUA